GCUAGAGGGAGUGGGGUAUAGUGACACAGUAACAGAGGGAUUGAGGGCCCUGCUCAGUGAGUUUACAUGUUAGAGGGAGUGGGGUAUAGUGACACAGUAACAGAGGGAUUGAGGGCCUGCUCAGUGAGUUUACAUGUUAGAGGGAGUGGGGUAUAGUGACACAGUAACAGAGGGAUUGAGGGCCCGCUCAGUGAGUUUACAUGUUAGAGGGAGUGGGGUAUAGUGACAGUAACAGAGGGAUUGAGUUCCCUGCUCAGUGAGUUUACAUGUUAGAGGGAGUGGGGUAUAGUAACACAGUAACAGAGGGAUUGAGGGCCUGCUCAGUGAGUUUACAUGUUAGAGGGAGUGGGGUAUAGUGACACAGUAACAGAGGGAUUGAGGGCCUGCUCAGUGAGUUUACAUGUUAGAGGGAGUGGGGUAUAGUGACAGUAACAGAUGGAUUGAGGGCCCUGCUCAGUGAGGUUACAUGUUAGAGGGAGUGGGGUAUAGUGACACAGUAACAUAGGGAUUGGGGCCCUGCUCAGUGAGGUUACAUGUUAGAGGGAGUGGGGUAUAGUGACAGUAACAGAGGGAUUGAGGGCCUGCUCAGUGAGUUUACAUGUUAGAGGGAGUGGGGUAUAGUGACACAGUAACAGAGGGAUUGAGGGCCCUGCUCAGUGAGCUUACAUGUUAGAGGGAGUGGGGUAUAAUGACAGUAACAGAGGGAUUGAGGGCCUGCUCAGUGAGCUUACAUGUUAGAGGGAGUGGGGUAUAGUGACACCGUAACAGAGGG